UGAGGAAUAUUGCGCAAUGGGGGAAACCCUGACGCAGCGACGCCGCGUGGGUGACGAAGGCCUUCGGGUCGUAAAACCCUUUUGGCAGGGACGAGUGAGGACGGUACCUGUCGAAUAAGUCUCGGCGAACUACGUGCCAGCAGCCGCGGUAAAACGUAGGAGGCGAGCGUUAUCCGGAUUCACUGGGCGUAAAGCGCACGUAGGCGGUCGGGUAAGUCGGAUGUUAAAGCCCCUGGCUCAACUGGGGGAGGUCAUUCGAUACUGCUCGGCUUGAGGAUGAGAGAGGAAAGUGGAAUUCCCGGUGUAGCGGUGGAAUGCGUAGAGAUCGGGAGGAACACCAGUGGCGAAAGCGGCUUUCUGGCUCAUUCCUGACGCUGAGUGUGCGAAAGCGUGGGUAGCAAACGGG
rnacentral:rRNA from 1 species